rnacentral:tRNA from 3 species
GGGCAGGUACCCAAGUGGCCAACGGGGGCAGACUGUAAAUCUGCUGACUUAGUCUUCGGAGGUUCGAAUCCUUCCCUGCCCA